AGCAAAGAAUUGGUAGAUAAAAGCACUGAGGGAGCCUGAAUAAUCUGAGAGUUUCUAUGAUCUUUGAAGAGGCUGUGCAUCUGCGCGUAUUCUUGCUUUCACGGCUCUGGUGAAGGACAGAAAGGUGCCUUAGCUUGCCGUUUCAGGAAGAAAUAAGAAGCAGCAGAUUAUCCAUACAAAACAAUGGGAAGACCCUAAGUGAGCUCAUUCACAACAAUCAGAUGAAACAGGCCUUCCUGCUAAGCCUGUCUAGUGUGCAUCCUGAUACCGACAAUAUAAUUCCUGUUUUGUUUAGACCUCCAGCCUUCCUGCCCAUCUCUCUUCCAUUGGUUAUUGCUUCAUCACUUCAGCUUCAAGCAAGGAGUGCGUUUCUUUGUCAGUUCCUGUUUCACACAUAUACCACUGGAUUCACCCUGUUCAAUGGAAAUGGUACCACGAAGGCUGAAGAGUACUCUGUUCAACAAAAGCAAGUCUUCUGUGGCUUGGGAGCUAUCUCCUAUGCAGCAUGUAUAGGUGUUAUUCCUAUCUUCUUCAUGAAUCGAUACACUUUGAAGAGUCCCUUAACACAGCUGGUUGUCAGAAAACUUUUACCUGCUCCUCUUCUUGGCUUGAUGAGUGCGUUUACUGUGGCAGUGGUGAGAAGCCCGGAGUUUGAGAACGGGAUUGAAGUGAUGGACAGGAAUGGCAAAGUUGUAGGAGUAUCACAGAAGGCUGGUGAGAAGGCCGUAAAAGAAACGGCAUUGUCAAGAGCAGCCUUGUUUGGGACAGCCUUCUCUCUGCCAGCUGUGCUUAUGUACUUCGUGGAAAGAACAAACUUUGCAAAAACUCCACGUGCUUUGGCUUCAAUGAGAAUGAUGAUGAUUACAUCAGUACUUGCAGGGAUGCUACCAGUUUCACUUAGUAUGUUCCCACAGUGUGGGGAGAUAAAGCGAGCAGACCUGGAACCAGAAAUUCUGGCAUCUACAGAAGAAACAGAAUUAUUCUAUAAUAGAGGAAUUUAGGAAUCAGCUUUAAUGUAUAAAUGUGUACUCUGAUUAAGAAAUGUUUCUGUUGCCCUGACCAGACUUUUCCAGAGGAACCUGAGGCAGGCAUCUGCCAUUUCAGUUGUCAGCCUGGGUGAUUCAGCUGUUUCCCCGGUCAAAGCAGGGAAAAUGUAUCACUAAAAAGGCCCUGGCAUCCUUGGUUUUGAAAUAAAGACAACAUGAGACUAGCACUGCCCGGACCUGACACCUGGUAGUCCAGAGGGACAGGUUCUGCAGGCCAUGAAAGUGGAUGAAGGAAGGAGGUAGGUGGGGAGGGAAUCACACACAGCGCUGCAGCUACUUCCUUAUCACACAGCAAGCAACGCACAAUGUGCUGCACACCGCUGCUCAGAGAGGGGCUGCUGCCCCAGCCCUCGAGGCUCCUCCUGGCUCUCCUACAUCAUGCAGCAGCUGCAAAAAAAUGACCUGACCUGAUCAAAGCAGUGAUCCAUCUGACCCAGACUCGAGGCUGACAGCUGCCAAGGGAAGAGUGUAAGACAGUAGGGGACAGCUGUGAACAUCCUUCACUUAGCUUCGUAGCUUGUUCUUUACCUAGAAAUUUAGCUGCUUCGGAUGACUUCUCACAACACACUGUUAACAAUUUAUUAUCCCUUUUGCUAACUGGGGAACUGAAAUGGGCAGAGGUAAAGAUCAGAAGCAGCCAGUAAUUAAGAUGGACGCUGCCAGGCAUCCUGCGUCACUUGUUUCCACAGUGCUCAGCGUUAUAUCGCUCUCAUUCAGAGCAUCCGCCCUCCCCCGUGUGCCUGCAGAGGCAACAAGGCCAGCUCACACCAGGAACUAAAACCCCAAGAAUGACAGCAUUAGCAGCAAGGUAUAGUUAGCCUGAAGGGACUAGCCUAGUUUAUAUAGCAAAAUUACAACGUAAGGGCUUGACUGUUUACCCUACAAGAUCUAGAUCUCCAUCGUUCACUAUCACCUUCCCGUUUCUGUAAGUGCAGCUCACCUAGGCAAUAAGCAAGGAGGAGUGCGCGGAGCAGUAUCUUUUCCUCAACUGAGGAAAGAACAGUGAUACAGGCUGGAAAGAAGGCAUUGAGUUAGUUUAGGAGCUGUGUGCCUUCUGGAGUCUUACUAGGUCAGCAUGAACUGUCAUGCAUCAUUUCGUAUUUAAUCAACAACAGAAAGGCAAUAACAUGAGAAGGUAUGAAUGCCAGCUUGCAUCGUCUUUGCUACUAGGAAGAAGAAGAGAGGAUAUCAUCCGAGUUUGCAAAACCAACAACUGUACACACAAAAAGUGUCUGCUUGCACGUUGGAGAUGUAUCCCAUGGGAAAAGGGAGUGAGAAAUAACCUGAAAUCUUUCCCUGUCCUGACCUUCCAGAUUUUUCUGUUUUAUUUUAAUCCCUUUUUGAGAUGAAACAGUGUCAAAAGUCAUUAUGAAAAUGCAAGAACAUUAGGACAAUCCUUUGAAAGUACUGAAGCUGAGGGAGGCUGAUACAUUUCACUGUACAUCCAAGACAGUCAGCAAAGAUGACACAACUAUUUGAACAUGUGAAGCAGUAUGUUUCCAACCUAACUAUCAAGCUGUAGCUUACUUUCAAAUCCCAGUAUUGCAAAACAUAAGAUCUAAGUCCUGUGACUCAGUGGCCACAACUACUCAAGAAAAAAAAAUUAAAAAGUAGGCUGUUCAGGUUUUUUUUUUUUUUUUAAUAGGCAUGAGCAUGCUGUGAGUCCAGUUCCUUAAGUGCAAAAUUAUAUUUCAUUUGUUUUCACAUAAAUGUUAGAAUACAAGAUCUAACACAAACACUGAGAUUUUCAACUUAGAAGAUUCCAAAACAGAAAGCAAAAUAAACAUUGGAUGUGUAGUUUGUAACUGAGCUUCUCUGCUUUUUGUGGUUGUCUUUAACACCCACACCUACCUUAAUUAGACACCUUAAGGCUUUUUGUUAAAAAGAAACUAUGUGAAUUUCUUCACAGUAACCAUGUGGCAUUAAGACAUUUGAGUCAAAGCGUGUUCAGGUUUUUCUUAGUGAGAGACUUGUGUUUCAGUAGACUUUAGAACAGGUCCUGAAAGUACCUCUUUCAUGAUAAUCUUGCAGUAUUGCCUUCGUGACUAUUAUAAAAGUCCUGAAACAAAGACAGCAAUGCCAAAGAAACAUUAAGAAAAAAUAAUAAUACACAAAUGGGGAAAAAGCUGAGCACUUAUAGGCAAAUGAAGGCAAUUGCAGUAUUUUUUUUUGAGAGAAAAAAACAACAAAAAAAAACAAAGUACGUACUUCUCUCUUCAGAAUUUGAGCUACCAAGUAGAUGUUUAAAGUAGAAUUAUACACCCCUGAAAAUAGGGGGUAUUUUGAAGUGCUUUCAUUUACUAACUGUAAUAACUAGCCAUUUUAUACAUAGUUGUCACAUUCCUGAUCCACAUACUAAAAUAGAUUUCCCUAAUAUAUGAUACAUAGCAAAAGGAUGACCCUUUUUCAACCUAAUAUUGCUUGUCCAUAACUAGUGAUGAACUCUAACAGUUUCAGAAUAGCAAACCUCCAAUUAUUUAACAAUAUAAAUAUUGAUUACUAAAGUUUUAAUCAUAAGUAUAAAAUCUCUAUGUAAAACCACAUGCUACAGCCUAUCUGUACAAAGGCCAGGAAAAAGGUUAUUUUUUCAUAUAACAAAGUGCUACUGCAGAAUUGACUGAGUUUUGUGGAUAUUUAUGAAGAAAUAAAAAU